rnacentral:snRNA from 14 species
UUGCUUCAGCAGCAGCACAUAGACUAAAAAUUAAAAUGCUACAGAGAUUAGCAUGGCCCCUAUGCGCGGAUAACAAGCAAGUUGUGAAGUUUCCAUAUUUCU